CCUANGGGUGGCUGCAGUCGAGAAUCUUCGGCAAUGGGCGCGAGCCUGACCGAGCGACGCCGCGUGCGGGAUGAAGGCUUUCGGGUUGUAAACCGCUGUCGUAGAGGAGGAAAUGUCGGUGGGUUCUCCCAUCGGCUUGACUGAUUCUAGGAGGAAGGACGGGCUAAGUUCGUGCCAGCAGCCGCGGUAAUACGAACCGUCCAAACGUUAUUCGGAAUUACUGGGCUUAAAGAGUUCGUAGGCGGUUGGAAAAGUUGGGUGUGAAAGCCCUCGGCUCAACCGAGGAAUUGCGCUCAAAACUGUUCGACUAGAGGGAGAUAGAGGUGAGCAGAACUGAUGGUGGAGCGGUGAAAUGCGUUGAUAUCAUCAGGAAUACCGGAGGCGAAGGCGGCUCACUGGGUCUCUUCUGACGCUGAGGAACGAAAGCUAGGGGAGCAAACGGGAUUAGAUACCCCANUANUC
rnacentral:rRNA from 1 species